AAACUGAUCUGUUUUUUGUGGGACGGCAGUGAAGUAUGCAACAACAGUGGUCUCGCUUUUGCUUUGAGUAGCUCUGGUGCACAUGAAAUGAUUUAUAUGAAAUAUGAAAGGCUGAGGAAUCAUGCUGUACCAACUGUGGAGUGCUGUUCAGUGUGAGAUUGGCCUUUCUUGGUUGCAUCAGCUUGUACAUUUUGUAAUGAAUAUGCUCAUUUUAGUUGGCAGACCAGUUGCUUGUUUGGAAUUGGUACUGACGUAUUGCUCUGCUAAUUUUAGGAUUUUUCAGGGAUUAAUA